UNCCCCCAUGAUGCCUACCCUUGAGCUCCC
rnacentral:piRNA from 1 species